CCUGCCGAAUGAAUUAGCCCUGAAAAUGGAUGGCGCUCAAGCGAGUAGCCGACACUGUGCCGUCUGAAUUAUUAAUAAAAAAAUUUUUUUUUGUUUGUAGUCAAAAUUCAGAUGAGUAGGAGUGAACGUGGCGGUCGUACAGAAGCGUGGGCGCAAGCAUGCGUGGAACGGCCGCUAGUGCAGAUCUUGGUGGUAGUAGCAAAUAUUCAAAUGAAAACCUURAAGGGCGAAGCGGGGAAGGGUUCCACGCGAACAUUGAUUGGGCGUGGGUGAGUCGUCCCUAAGCCGUCUGGUAAUGGCAGGCUAGACGAAAUCGGCGAAAGGGAAGCAGGUUUAUAUUCCUGCACACGGAUGUGGAAAUGCGGUGACGCACGCUGGGGCGGUGAAGUCGUCGGUUGCACUGGGCAGAGAUUUCUUUUCUGUUUGACGGAGCCUGACUGUACUCUAUGGAAUCCGCUUGUCGGGAGAAAUAGGUAUGUCACGGCAAAGCGCCGGGUUUUUUUUAUCUGGCGUCCAGUUUGCGACUGGCGGACCAUGAAAAGCUGUCUGCUGGCAAAACGGUCUUAACAGUCUUGUUUUGUGUGAAAAAAUUCCACGCCGUAACGUACCCAUAACCGCAUCAGGUCCCCAAGGUGAACAGCCUCUGCUCAAUAUGAAAAAUGCAGGUGAGGGAAGUCGGCAAAUUGGACCCGUAACUUUGGGAAAAGGGUUGGCUCUAGUGCUGUGUAGCAAGUGGUUGCUGGUUGAAGCGGCGUAUUUGGGGAAUUGAGUCGAGUUUCGAGGGAUAAUUUUAUUUUUAUGUCUUGCGACGAGAUUCUUCUCCGGGUGCGCGGUUCCUGGCGACCGUGGCCUACAGCAUGCAGCAAACUAGAACUGCAACGGACAAAGGGAAUCCGACUGUUUAAUUAAAACAAAGCAUUGCGAAGGCCG
rnacentral:rRNA from 1 species